rnacentral:rRNA from 1 species
CCUAAACUAUCAUAUAAAUAACUUUAAUAUAAAAAUAAUAUAUAAAUACUCCUCAUAUACUAACUAAUAAUACCGCAAGGGAAAAUAAAAUAUAUCAUAGUAGCUAUAAAUAAGCAUACCUUGUGCAUAAUGGUUUUACAAGAACAAAUUUUAUAAUCUACUCCCGAAUUCUUAAUGAGCUGAUUUUUUAAUGUAAAGAACCAAUUACUAGUUGUGUCAAAAACUUUAAAAUAUAAAAAAAUCAGAGGCUACAUACCAACCGCAUAAGAAAAUCUCUGGUUUCCAUUUAAUUUUAUUUAUUAAAUCAACUUACUAAGUAUGUUAUAUAAUAGAGGAUAAGCCCUAUUAUUCAAUCAAUAAAUAUUAUCUCAUAAAAUAGAUAGGCCUAAAAUCAGCCAUUCAUAAGUACGUCACAGUAAAUUUAAUAAACUAAUUAAUAUAAAAAAAUGAAGCAUAUAAAUGGAUAAGCAUACAAACUUAAUAUGUUAUAACUCUGUAAAAACAAAUAUUUAUUAAAUUAUACUAUACAUAAAAUAUCAAAUUAAUAUAACAAAUAGUAAAACUUUUAUUAAGAAACUCGGCAAAUCUCUAUUUCGACUGUUUACCAAAAACAUUGCUUCUUGAAAAUAAUAAGAAGUAAUCCCUGCCCAGUGAUUUUUCAACGGCCGCGGUAUCCUAACCGUGCAAAGGUAGCAUAAUAAUUUGCCCAUUAAUUGUGGGCUAGAAUGAACGGGGUAACGAAAUAAGCUCUGUCUCAAUAAAAAACAUAAAAACUAAUAUCCAAGUGAAGAAGCUUAGAUAAAAUUAAAGGACAAGAAGACCCUAUAGAGCUUUAUCUUACAAUGUUUAUACAAUCCUAAGAUUAGGUUGGGGCGACCAUGGAUAAAUCAUCCAAAAAAUAAAAGACUAACUAGUCAAUUCACAGAUCCUUUUAAGAUCACAGAAUUAAGCUACCUUAGGGAUAACAGGCUAAUCCUAUUAAAGAGCUCUUAUCGACAAUAGGGAUUGGCACCUCGAUGUUGGCUUAGAAUAUCUUUAUGGCGCAGAAGUCAUAAAUAGAGGGUUUGUUCAACCCAUAAUAUUCUACAUGAGCUGAGUUCAGACCGGCGUAAGCCAGGUUAGUUUCUAUCCUUGAUAUAAAAUAAAUUUAUAGUACGAAAGGACCUAAAUCUUAUAUGACUAUAUAUAUAAAAAAAAAAAUAUAAUAAAUCAUAAACUAAAAUCAUUAUACACUA